UCGUUAUCUUUUUCGCAGGUACUACCAAACCUGUACAACAGCCAUUAGAUGUUAAAAAGUCUGCUGGAAAACCAGAUCCCGUCACACAUACACAGCAAACUAUUUUUUUAAAGACUGCUGGAGCUACUCCAAGUACUAGCAAACCUGUACAACAGCCAUUAGAUGUUAAAAAGUCUGCUGGAAAGCCACAUCCCGUUACACAAACACAGCAAACUAUUUUUUUAAAGACUGCUGGAGCUACUCCAAGUACUAGCAAACCUGUACAACAGCCAUUAGAUGUUAAAAAGUCUGCUGGAAAGCCACAUCCCGUUACACAAACACAGCAAACUAUUUUUUUAAAGACUGCUGGAGCUACGCCGAGUUAUAGUAAAUCAAUCCAACAAACGUCUUUGGAAACGUCAGGAGAUAUUAUGGGU